GGUUUUAUGACUGAGUGGUUAUAGUGAGGUACUGUUAAUACUUUUUUCAGAGGUUCGAAUCCUCUUAAAACCU